ACGCCGAUUUGUCUGGAGAAGUAAUUAAAUAGCUUUAAUUCGUCAUUAUAGCCGUCGCAGGCGUCAUACGGAGGAGAUAUGAAGACAAUGAGUUCUGAAAGGUCUUAUGUAAACGUCGUAACAAAAUUAGGUUGGAGUAAGAAGAUAACAAAACAAAUGGGUCACUAAAGCUAAAAUGCCUAUUACACAGUACAUAUUCGUGGUCCAACAACUUAACAUCCAUGAUGACAUAGACAAAUAAUUGGUUGCAAAUU
rnacentral:lncRNA from 1 species